rnacentral:rRNA from 1 species
GAUGAACGCUGGCGGCGUGCCUCAUACAUGCAAGUCGAGCGAACGGACGAGAAGCUUGCUUCUCUGAUGUUAGCGGCGGACGGGUGAGUAACACGUGGAUAACCUACCUAUAAGACUGGGAUAACUUCGGGAAACCGGAGCUAAUACCGGAUAAUAUUUUGAACCGCAUGGUUCAAAAGUGAAAGACGGUCUUGCUGUCACUUAUAGAUGGAUCCGCGCUGCAUUAGCUAGUUGGUAAGGUAACGGCUUACCAAGGCAACGAUGCAUAGCCGACCUGAGAGGGUGAUCGGCCACACUGGAACUGAGACACGGUCCAGACUCCUACGGGAGGCAGCAGUAGGGAAUCUUCCGCAAUGGGCGAAAGCCUGACGGAGCAACGCCGCGUGAGUGAUGAAGGUCUUCGGAUCGUAAAACUCUGUCAUUAGGGAAGAACAUAUGUGUAAGUAACUGUGCACAUCUUGACGGUACCUAAUCAGAAAGCCACGGCUAACUACGUGCCAGCAGCCGCGGUAAUACGUAGGUGGCAAGCGUUAUCCGGAAUUAUUGGGCGUAAAGCGCGCGUAGGCGGUUUUUUAAGUCUGAUGUGAAAGCCCACGGCUCAACCGUGGAGGGUCAUUGGAAACUGGAAAACUUGAGUGCAGAAGAGGAAAGUGGAAUUCCAUGUGUAGCGGUGAAAUGCGCAGAGAUAUGGAGGAACACCAGUGGCGAAGGCGACUUUCUGGUCUGUAACUGACGCUGAUGUGCGAAAGCGUGGGGAUCAAACAGGAUUAGAUACCCUGGUAGUCCACGCCGUAAACGAUGAGUGCUAAGUGUUAGGGGGUUUCCGCCCCUUAGUGCUGCAGCUAACGCAUUAAGCACUCCGCCUGGGGAGUACGACCGCAAGGUUGAAACUCAAAGGAAUUGACGGGGACCCGCACAAGCGGUGGAGCAUGUGGUUUAAUUCGAAGCAACGCGAAGAACCUUACCAAAUCUUGACAUCCUUUGACAGCUCUAGAGAUAGAGCCUUCCCCUUCGGGGGACAAAGUGACAGGUGGUGCAUGGUUGUCGUCAGCUCGUGUCGUGAGAUGUUGGGUUAAGUCCCGCAACGAGCGCAACCCUUAAGCUUAGUUGCCAUCAUUAAGUUGGGCACUCUAAGUUGACUGCCGGUGACAAACCGGAGGAAGGUGGGGAUGACGUCAAAUCAUCAUGCCCCUUAUGAUUUGGGCUACACACGUGCUACAAUGGACAAUACAAAGGGCAGCGAAACCGCGAGGUCAAGCAAAUCCCAUAAAGUUGUUCUCAGUUCGGAUUGUAGUCUGCAACUCGACUACAUGAAGCUGGAAUCGCUGGUAAUCGUAGAUCAGCAUGCUACGGUGAAUACGUUCCCGGGUCU